CAGUCCUCUCCUCCUUAUCCUCCUACUCUCCAGCCAACUUGGGGCAGUGUGCGGUGCCCUUAAAAAAGCAAACUAGUAAUCGGAUAAUGAACAAUCUACAUUUCUCCAAAGAAAACAGUAAUGAAAAAUAUCUACCUCAUGCCUGUGAGUGGACUGACCUUUCUGAGAGUUUGGGAUGGCAGGCGAGGCGAGGCGACUCACUUAUAAGGAUUUAAUUAGCUGCGCUCGGGGGUGUAUGGGCUGUGAGCGGACAGAGAGAGGACAAGGAGAGAGGGGAGGAGGGAGAGAGAGAGAAAAAGAGAGAGAGAGUGAGAAAGAAAACAGAAAAGGCUCUAAUUCCAGAUGCUUCUCUUCUCAACCCCUCCCUCUACUCCUUCCUUCCCACUGCACCACCAACAUCCUCUUUCAUUUUAAAUGUUUUUCCAAUCCCAUGUAACAUUCAUCACUAACUCAAGAUGGUUAGUGAUGGGGGGGUUAAGCCUACAUGAAACAGGAAGGCUUCAUGACCUGAGGGAGGGCUGGAUCUUUGUUGUUGUUGUAGUUUCUUUCUGGAUCGUCUCUCUGCUAGCCGGAGGAUGACCUUUAAGGUCAGGAAGCGUGGCUUCAUAGUGUGACUCAACAGACAGAGCAGAGCAGAGAGCCUGACUGACUGACUGGCUGGAUUAGGCAUUUGUUCUUGUUCUGUUGCUUUGUUUUAUCUCUCUCUGUCUCUCUCUGUACUCCACUGCUCUACGGAGUAACCACAGAGGAACAGCGGUACAGAGACAUACAGUGAGUGUAUAAAGCAUUAGAAACAUCUGCUCCUUCCAGGACACAGACUGACCAGAUGAAUCCAGGACAUCCAGCCAACGGCAGGUCAGUGGUCGAAAACGGGUCAUUGAUGAAAUAGGACAAAGGAGGCUGACACGAAUUGUGCAGAGCAGCAGACAGGCUACAGUUAGUCAACUGACACUCUAGUACAACAUUGGUGCCCAAAGACCCAUAAAAAAUGCACAACUCAUCGUAUCUUGACACAAAUGGGGUAUGGCAGCUGACGUCCUUGCAGAUUUCCACUUCUUCGAGCAAAAAACACCAAGCUGCGGUUGCAGUGGGCUAAGGAAGGAAAACACUGGACACUGGAGAAUUGGAAAAACAUUUCCUGGUCUGAUGAAUCCUGGUUCCUGCUGUUUCACGCAGAUGGGAGGACUAGGGAAUGGAGAAAACCACGAGUACAUGCAUCCGUCAUGCCGCGUGUCAACAUUGCAGGCUGGUGGUGAUGGUGUAGGAAUGGUUCCACGAACAUGACAGUGAUUUCAGCUUACUGAAGUGGCCUGCCCAGUCACCAGAUCUUAAACUCAGCCACAACGCUAGUUCUGAGCAUUAAAACGCAUUGCUUUUUAUCAUAUCAGUGAGAAAUUCUGAAAAAAAUGAUUUUACAAAAAGGUUCAAUUACUAUACACCUUUAAAGGGUUAGGGUUAGUGUUCCCAUAUGGCCAUAUCUCUACAUUACAGCGCUUUACUGAAGACAGACAGAAGACAUUCACUCAUAGAAAAAAAGGUGCUGUCUAGAACAUUGAAGGGUUCUUCGGCUGUCGCCAUAGUAGAACACUUUAAAGAACCCUUUUUGGUUGGAGGUAGAACCGUUUUGGUUCCAGAUAGAACCCUUUUGGAUUCCAUAUAGAAUCCUUUCUACAGAGGGUUCCAAAUGGAAGCCAAAUUAUGGCAGUUGGACCCUUUAAAAUGGCUGUCUGACUACAUGGGGCGGUUACUGACAGGAAUGGGCUCUGACAUAAUUUUGUGAGCCUAUCUCCCUCUCUCUUUCUUUACAGUUUUCAACACUAGUGAAAAAAGCUGCAGCGGAAGAUUUGCAUAACCAAUUGAGCAGAAUAUGCUAAUCCUUACAAAUGUAAUUUGGUGUAAGAAGAGAACCUUGCUAAAGACAAAGCCUGUGUAUUAAUUUGUUAUGAUUAUUUCCUUCUGUGAGCACAAACAACAAACACGGGCAGUGUGAGAGAGACGUGGGGAGGGGAGAGGAAGAAGAGAGUUAGUGAUCUUCCCAUUUCUGGCGAAGCACUUUCAGUUGAGAUAUUCCACAGAGCUGUGCAUAUUAUAAACGACGCCAUUAAAAAAAUGUAAAUAGACCUUUUGAUUCAGACUCGGAGAGGAAUGUUUGCCUAAAUCAAAACAAUUAGCACCACCUGUUACAGAAGAUGGAUUAUGUCUUUACUCGCUCUCUCUCUUCUCUUGCUUCCCCUCUCUGUUCUCUCUCUUCUCUUGAUUCCCCUUUCUGUUCUCUCUCUCUCUCUCUCUCUCUCUCUCUCUCUCUCUCUCUCUCUCUCUCUCUCUCUCUCUCUCUCUCUCUCUCUCUCUCUCUCUCUCUCUCUCUCUCUCUCUCUCUCUCUCUCUCUCUGUUCUCUCUCUCUCUGUUCUCUCUCUGUUCUCUCUCUGUUUCUCUCUCUCUCUCUCUCUCUCUCUCUCUCUCUCUGUUCUCUCUCUCUCUGUUCUCUCUCUGUUCUCUCUCUCUCUCUCUCUCUUCCCCUCUCUGUUUUCUCUCUCUCUUCUCUUGCUUCCCCUCUCUGUUUUCUCUCUCUCUCUCUUCUCUUGCUUCCCCUCUCUGUUUUCUCUUUCUUCUCCAACGUUUUUUAGAUGCUAAGAUCUUCCGGUUUCACAGAAAGGGGGGGGGAAGGGGAAUUAGUUGCAGCUCAUAAAAGCUAUACCUGUGGCUGUGAUCUAAAUGUGUAUUUAACUGAUGGUUAAAUUAACCCAGCAUGUGUUCUAUCCAAUAUUUACCCAGCACUGGGUUCCCAAUUAACCCACAUUGGGUUGUGUUUAACCCAUCAGCUGACGCAGAACCAUAGUCCUAUGGUAUACAUUCAGACUAAUAUAGGGUCAUCAACCUGGUAACUUAACCAAGUCAACCUCCAGAUGAAAACGUCCCCUGGACUGGAGGUUGGGUUGCAUUAAACACCCUCAUAAGAGUAUUUUCCAGUAUACUAGCUCUCUUAUUAAGUCAUGCGUCAGUCUAAAGUAUCCCCGAAUAAGACUCAAUAGAAGGGGCUUCAAACAAGUUAAGUUGCCCACAUCCUUCUCCUCAUUCCCAUUCAGACAGCGGUCUGUAAACCACCCUCUGACAUGCAUUUUAUUAGUACGUCUGCCUGCAUAGCUCUCUGGCUCCUUUCCAGCUACAUGUGGUGAUAUGCAAGAGUGAAGGCUAUAUAAAUGCUAACAACAUCACAUUGAUUUUCACUGGGUUUGUAGCCUCAUCUAAUACAUCAAUCUCAAUAACUAGUGUGUGUGUUGUGUUGUGUUUUGUGUGUGUGUGUGCGUGCUUGCGGGUGUGUGAUACCGAGCCGAACAACGUACGAUGUAGAGUUAAACUGUCUCGGGUACAAAAUAAUGUGAACCAACCAUCCCUCUGUGAUUGGUCUCCAUUAGAGCAGUAAAACAGAAACGGGCCGUAAAACUUAGCCACACUCAGAGGUCGGUCGAUUUGGUAACACAAACACAUCUAGUUUAACAACGUGAGAGCCUAAAAGUGUCUGUUAAAGAAAGCCACUCUAACAGACGGCUCUAACAAGGUAUCGGCCCAUCUUUUAGUUCCAUCGUGUAGAAAUUCUUAGAAAAAAGGGUUCUAAAAGGGUUCUUCUGCUGUCCCCAUAGGAGAAGAACCCUCUGUGGAAAGGGUUUUACACGGAACCCAAAAGGGUUCUACCUGGAACCAAAAAAGGUUUCUACAAAGGGUGCUUCUAUGGGAACAGCCAAAUAACCUUUUAACCUCAGAACCACUGGACUUCGAGCAACACCCCCUUCAAGAUAAUGAUAAUUAUAAUUUGGUUGGGUAAAUGAAAACCUUAGGCUAACAUUAGAAUACUAGUUAUUUUAAAUAACACAAUAGCAUUGUCAUUAGUUUAUGUUUCUGUAGGCUAUAUGUAAAAACAAAAAACACAAAAAACAAAAAUUCAAGUGUUCCAUUUUAUUCAUGGAGUUCCUUUGUUACAACUAUGAAACAGAAAGCAUAUGUGAUGGAACACGGUAACAGCUUAUUUCUAUACCGACAAAAUAAAAUAAAAAAUGAAAAAAAUGGAAGUAACAAUAGCAGAUUGCCC
rnacentral:lncRNA from 1 species